rnacentral:rRNA from 1 species
UACGUAGGGUGCAAGCGUUAAUCGGAAUUACUGGGCGUAAAGCGCGCGUAGGCGGCUUUGCAAGUCGGGUGUGAAAUCCCCAGGCUUAACCUGGGAACUGCAUCCGAGACUGCAUUGCUAGAGUAUGGGAGAGGGAAGUGGAAUUUCAGGUGUAGCGGUGAAAUGCGUAGAUAUCUGAAGGAACAUCAGUGGCGAAAGCGACUUCCUGGACCAAUACUGACGCUCAUGUGCGAAAGCGUGGGGAGCAAACAGG